GAGUUUGAUCUUGGCUCAGGAUGAACGCUGGCGGCGUGCCUAACACAUGCAAGUCGAACGGAUCCAUAUUGAAACCUAGUGAUGUAUGGAUUAGUGGCGGACGGGUGAGUAACGCGUGGAUAACCUGCCGUAUACAGGGGAUAACACUUAGAAAUAGGUGCUAAUACCGCAUAAGCGCACGGUUCCGCAUGGAACAGUGUGAAAAACUCCGGUGGUAUACGAUGGGUCCGCGUCUGAUUAGCCAGUUGGCGGGGUAACGGCCCACCAAAGCGACGAUCAGUAGCCGGCCUGAGAGGGUGAACGGCCACAUUGGGACUGAGACACGGCCCAAACUCCUACGGGAGGCAGCAGUGGGGAAUAUUGCACAAUGGGGGAAACCCUGAUGCAGCGACGCCGCGUGAGUGAAGAAGUAUCUCGGUACGUAAAGCUCUAUCAGCAGGGAGAAAAUGACGGUACCUGACUAAGAAGCCCCGGCUAACUACGUGCCAGCCGCCGCGGUAAC
rnacentral:rRNA from 1 species